rnacentral:rRNA from 1 species
CAGUCGCCACGGUAAUACGGAGGGGGCUAGCGUUGUUCGGAAUUACUGGGCGUAAAGCGCACGUAGGCGGCUUGGUAAGUUAGAGGUGAAAGCCUGGAGCUCAACUCCAGAAUUGCCUUUAAGACUGCCGAGCUAGCAGGUGAGAGAGGUAAGUGGAAUUCCGAGUGUAGAGGUGAAAUUCGUAGAUAUUCGGAAGAACACCAGUGGCGAAGGCGGCUUACUGGCUCAUACUGGACGCUGAGGUGCGAAAGCGUGGGGAGCAAACAGGAUUAGAUACCCCUGUAGUCCCUGUCUCUUAUAC